rnacentral:misc_RNA from 1 species
GAAGCUGUUGCUAUGAGUGACCACAGGAAUGCAGAAAUAGAUAGCACUGCCAGUAUUUGUUCGCACAACUACAAAUUUGGAACAUUUUUAGUAGACUGUAAUGAAAUGUUAUGGAAUUAAGAUGUGGUAGAAUUAUUCCAUUCCAUUGUGAUUCAUUACAGUUUACCAAGCAUCCAUUAUAUUUUAGCUUCUUGUAUUCCAAUUUAACUUGGGUUUCUUGCUAAUUCAUGAUAGUCUAGGUUAACUAGUUGCAUAGGUUUGGCUUAUCGGUAAUGAACUUUAAUCCCUUGUGAUUGAUUGAUUCAGGUGGAUGAAGAUCAGGAUGAU